AACGAACGCUGGCGGCGCGCCUAAUACAUGCAAGUCGAGCGAGAAGGUGUAGCAAUACACUUGUAAAGCGGCGAACGGGUGAGGAAUACAUGGGUAAUCUACCAUCGAGUGGGGAAUAACCAGCCGAAAGGUUGGCUAAUACCGCGUACGCUUCCGAGUCUUCGGGCUUGGAAGGAAAGCCGCACUGUGAGUGCGGCGCUCUUUGAUGAGCUCAUGUCCUAUCAGCUUGUUGGUAGGGUAACGGCCUACCAAGGCUUUGACGGGUAGCUGGUCUGAGAGGACGAUCAGCCACACUGGCACUGCGACACGGGCCAGACUCCUACGGGAGGCAGCAGUAAGGAAUAUUGCGCAAUGGGCGAAAGCCUGACGCAGCGACGCCGCGUGGGGGAUGAAGGUCUUCGGAUUGUAAACCCCUUUCGGGAGGGAAGAUGGAGCGAGCAAUCGUUCGGACGGUACCUCCAGAAGCAGCCACGGCCAACUUCGUGCCAGCA
rnacentral:rRNA from 1 species